rnacentral:tRNA from 2 species
UGGGCUGUUAGCUCAGUUGGCAGAGCAACUGACUCUUAAUCAGUGGGUCGAGGGUUCGAGCCCCCCACAGCCCAU